CUCCUGUUCCUGGCCGCGGAGCAGCUCCUGGAAGACCUCCGCAACGAUUCCUCGGACUAUGUGGUCUGCCCCUGGUCAGCCCUGCUUUCUGCGGCUGGAAGCCUUUCUUUCCAAGGCCAUGUUUCUCACAUAGAGGCUGCUCCUUUCAAGGCCCCUGAACUGCUACAGGGACAGAGUGAGGAUGAGCAGCCUGAUGUGUCUCAGGUAAGCUGUGCGGCUACUCUGCAACUCCUGAGUCCUGUGCCCUGGGAAAGGCCUAUCCCAGUGGCAGCCUCCCCAGCUCCCAGCUCAGCCUUGAAGAGCUUGGUUCUCAACACCAAGCCAGAGUGGGUUUCAAGAGUUUUAUUCCCAGGAUUUCUUGUCAACAACUUACUAGCUCAUGGACAAGGGCAAGUCCACUUCUCUGAGCCGCAAUUUCUACAUUGGUAAAAUGGGGUUAAUGUGGCUUAAUUGAUCAGGUUAUUAUCAAUAUUCAAAAAGAAGUGUUGAAAAGCUGUGGUUAAGUGGUCUGGCACAUUGUUACCAUUGGCAGUAUGUAGCAAGACACCUCAAAAUGACCCAACAUGUCCUCAACUAGGAAUUUAUUCUAAGGCACAAGUAAAGAUAAAUUUAGCUGCAGCAAUGCUGAUUGUUGUAUUGCUGACAUUAGUGAUAAAUUGAAAACAAGCUAAAUAGUCAGUGG
rnacentral:sRNA from 1 species